rnacentral:lncRNA from 1 species
GGUAAUUCAAUAAAAACGACGGUUUAAGGAAUAAAACGUCGUCUGAAAAGAAUUUAAACGACGGUGAAAAAACCGUCGUGGUGAAUAAUUUAUUACGUCUUAGAAAAAAAUUCCGCCGUCUAAGUUGUAAACAAAUGACGGUUUAAAGAAAAAUAUCGACGUCUGAAAUUUUGAAAAACAAAUAAAAAAGGCAAAGUUAUGUGAACAUACCUGGUCGUCAUGCUUUUCUUCAUCUUCUUUCUCCUUUUCAUCUUGUUUUUCU